rnacentral:rRNA from 1 species
CGCUUGUGACCAGACUUGGGCGCGGCGGAUCAUCCGGGGUUCUCCCCGGUGCACUUCGCCGUGUUCAGGCCAGCAUCAGUUCGGCGCGGGGGAAAAAGGCUUCGGGAACGUGGCUCCUCCGGGAGUGUUAUAGCCCGUUGCAUAAUACCCUGCGCUGGACUGAGGACCGCGCAUCUGCAAGGAUGCUGGCGUAAU